CCUACGGGAGGCUGCAGUGGGGAAUAUUGGACAAUGGGGGCAACCCUGAUCCAGCCAUGCCGCGUGUGUGAAGAAGGCCCUCGGGUUGUAAAGCACUUUCAGUGAGGAAGAACGCCUGGUGGUUAAUACCCAUCAGGAAAGACAUCACUCACAGAAGAAGCACCGGCUAACUCCGUGCCAGCAGCCGCGGUAAUACGGAGGGUGCGAGCGUUAAUCGGAAUUACUGCGCGUAAAGCGCGCGUAGGUGGCUUGAUAAGCCGGUUGUGAAAGCCCCGGGCUCAACCUGGGAACGGCAUCCGGAACUGUCAAGCUAGAGUGCAGGAGAGGAAGGUAGAAUUCCCGGUGUAGCGGUGAAAUGCGUAGAGAUCGGGAGGAAUACCAGUGGCGAAGGCGGCCUUCUGGACUGACACUGACACUGAGGUGCGAAAGCGUGGGUAGCAAACAGGAUUAGAUACCCUUGUAGUC
rnacentral:rRNA from 1 species